GUGCUCACUUCAGCAGCCCAUAUGCUAAAAUAGGAACGAGCCAGAGAAGAUUAGCAUGGCCCUUGCGCAAGGAUGACAUGCAAAUUUGUGAAGUGUUCCAUAUUUUU
ensembl:snRNA U6 U6 spliceosomal RNA